rnacentral:rRNA from 1 species
GUGAGGAAUAUUGGUCAAUGGGCGCAAGCCUGAACCAGCCAUGCCGCGUGAAGGAAUAAGGCCCUAUGGGUCGUAAACUUCUUUUGUGGUGGAGCAAUAAGGUGCACGUGUGCAUCGAUGAGAGUACAUCACGAAUAAGCAUCGGCUAACUCCGUGCCAGCAGCCGCGGUAAUACGGAGGAUGCAAGCGUUAUCCGGAUUUAUUGGGUUUAAAGGGUGCGUAGGCUGUUCGACAAGUCAGGGGUGAAAGCCCAGUGCCUAACACUGGAACUGCCUUUGAUACUGCCGAGCUGGAAUACGGAUGCCGUGGGAGGAAUGAGUAGUGUAGCGGUGAAAUGCAUAGAUAUUACUCAGAACACCGAUUGCGAAGGCAUCUCACGAAUCCGUCAUUGACGCUGAGGCACGAAAGCGUGGGGAUCAAACAGG